UACGAAGGGUGCAAACGUUGUUCGGAAUUACUGGGCGUAAAGGGCUCGUAGGCGGCCAACUAAGUCGGACGUGAAAUCCCUCAGCUUAACUGGGGAACUGCGUCCGAUACUGGAUGGCUUGGAUUUGGGAGAGGGAUGCGGAAUUCCAGGUGUAGCGGUGAAAUGCGUAGAUAUCGGAAGGAACAUCAGUGGCGAAAGCGGCUUCCUGGACCAGCACCGACGUUCAGGCACGAAAGCGUGGGGAGCAAACAGG
rnacentral:rRNA from 1 species